CCGUUGUACUACUAAGGCUCAGCCUUGCGGUGGCCGACGCCCUUUCCCGGAUGGGAGGGGGUGUGGCCGAAACCCAUGGGCGCGUCCUCGCAGGUCGUCCAGCGUAGCAAGUCUCUCGCUGAACGUGCCGGGGAGGAGGCGCCAAUUGAAAUACACGAACGCUUGGCCUCGAAUCAGGUAGGGAUACCCGCUGAACUUAA
rnacentral:misc_RNA from 1 species